rnacentral:rRNA from 1 species
GUGGUGGCAAGCGUUGUCCGGAAUUAUUGGGCGUAAAGCGCGCGCAGGCGGUUCUUUAAGUCUGAUGUGAAAGCCCACGGCUCAACCGUGGAGGGUCAUUGGAAACUGGAGAACUUGAGUACAGAAGAGGAAAGCGGAAUUCCACGUGUAGCGGUGAAAUGCGUAGAGAUGUGGAGGAACACCAGUGGCGAAGGCGGCUUUCUGGUCUGUAACUGACGCUGAGGCGCGAAAGCGUGGGGAGCAAACAGGAUUAGAUACCCUGGUAGUCCACGCCGUAAACGAUGAGUGCUAAGUGUUAGGGGGUUUCCGCCCCCCUUAGUGCUGCAGCUAACGCAUUAAGCGCUCCGCCUGGGAGUACGGCCGCAAGGCUG